rnacentral:rRNA from 1 species
UACGAAGGGGGCUAGCGUUGUUCGAAAUUACUGGGCGUAAAGCGCACGUAGGCGGAUCCUUAAGUCAGGGGUGAAAUCCCGAGGCUCAACCUCGGAACUGCCUUUGAUACUGGGGAUAUCGAGUCCGGGAGAGGUGAGUGGAACUGCGAGUGUAGAGGUGAAAUUCGUAGAUAUUCGCAAGAACACCAGUGGCGAAGGCGGCUCUCUAGUACGGUACUGACGCUGAGACGCGAAAGCGUGGGGAGCGAACAGG